ACUAUGGGAGCUUUGGGAACAGCACCGACUCCUGUCCAGCAAGAUGCACCUGCGACUACCACAACAUCACUCCAUAUAGGCCUAUAGCCUACAGAACGCUGUUGAGAGUUGCUGGGGCAUUGCCGAACUCUAUUCCCCUCCUGCUAAGGCAGCUGUUUAGAGGCCCUCAUCAAUAAGAGAGAACUGUAAGGAAACCAGCAUGAAAAGCACGGCCUCUCCCUCCCCUCCCGAUCCCACAAUAACACCCACCGCCCAAUCUGAGGCGCGGUAACGUAGUGACACCCAACUCUGAUCCGACCCAGUAACUGGCUCUUUGUUGAAGGAUGGCACAGGCAGAAUUCAGGUGCUGAGAAGAAGAGGAACGUCAGUGUGAUGACCAUCUAAGCUGGAAACGGGCUGCAGUUGUUUUCUUUGCAAAAACACCUGUCUAAACAGCAGCAAAGCCAAGGGCAAGUCUCGCCUGUCAGCGUCGGUGACAGCUCUUGACAAAAAUUCAGCAGAGACAAUUCCUAAGACGUCCACUCAAGCGGAACAAUGCACGUGUGCUGCAAUGACCCCAGCUGGGCUGUCUCUCUUUUUUUAAGUUUUAGUGUUGUUUGUAGGAGCUCUGCAACAGACAUUGGACAACACCUGGAAGAAGGUCAAAUGCAAGAUAUUCCCGUAAAGAUACAGUCUUUGUUUUGUUUGUCUCUGUGGUUUCAAAUGCACAUAAUCCUUCUAAAUACACCGGUGGUUUCAGUGACAUGGACUCAGCAAAAAAAAAAAAAAACUCUUACAGUUGUGUGACCGCAACAAAAGGCUGGACUAUUUAAGUGAUUAAUUAAUACAGCUUACAACCAUUUAUGAAGCUGUUUGCAUCAUCUGUCCAGAGUGGAUUUAGGGGCCGUUUCAGUGAAGAUUUACUGAACA